UGGGGAAUAUUGGACAAUGGGCGGAAGCCUGAUCCAGCCAUGCCGCGUGUGUGAAGAAGGCCUUUUGGUUGUAAAGCACUUUAAGCGAGGAGGAGGCUACUUGGAUUAAUACUCUAGGAUAGUGGACGUUACUCGCAGAAUAAGCACCGGCUAACUCUGUGCCAGCAGCCGCGGUAAUACAGAGGGUGCGAGCGUUAAUCGGAUUUACUGGGCGUAUAGCGUGCGUAGGCGGCUUCUUAAGUCGGAUGUGAAAUCCCUGAGCUUAACUUAGGAAUUGCAUUAGAUACUGGGAAGCUAGAGUAUGGGAGAGGAUGGUAGAAUUCCAGGUGUAGCGGUGAAAUGCGUAGAGAUCUGGAGGAAUACCGAUGGCGAAGGCAGCCAUCUGGCCUAAUACUGACGCUGAGGUACGAAAGCAUGGGGAGCAAACAGG
rnacentral:rRNA from 1 species